UACGUAGGCAGCAAGCGUUGUUCGGAAUUACUGGGCGUAAAGAGUGUGUAGGCGGUGCUCCAAGUCUGGUGUGAAAUCUCCCGGCUUAACUGGGAGGGUGCAUUAGAAACUGGAAUGCUAGAGGAUGGGAGAGGUAAGCGGAAUUCCUGGUGUAGCGGUGAAAUGCGUAGAUAUCAGGAGGAACACCAGUGGUGUAGACAGCUUACUGGACCAUUUCUGACGCUGAGACACGAAAGCGUGGGUAGCAAACAGG
rnacentral:rRNA from 1 species